CACGUUGAAACACCGGUUCUCGUUCGAUCACCAAAGUUAAGCAACGUCGAGCCUGGUCAGUACCUCGAUGGGUGACCGCUUGGAUG